rnacentral:rRNA from 1 species
GAUCCUGGCUCAGGAUGAACGCUAGCGACAGGCUUAACACAUGCAAGGUCGAGGGCAUCACGGGAGUAGCAAGUACAACUGGUGGCGACCGGCGCACGGGUGAGUAACGCGUAUGCAACCUACCUAAUCGAGAGGGGAAUAACCCGGCGAAAGUCGGAACUAAUACCGCAUAAAACAGGGGCACCGCAUGGUGAUAUUUGUUAAAGAAAUUCGCUGAUAGAUGGGCAGUGCGUUCCAUUAGGUAGUUGGUGAGGUAACGGCUCACCAAGCCGACGAUGGAUAGGGGAACUGAGAGGUUGGUCCCCACACUGGUACUGAGACACGGACCAGACUCCUACGGGAGGCAGCAGUGAGGAAUAUUGGUCAAUGGGCGGGAGCCUGAACCAGCCAAGUCGCGUGAAGGAAAGAAGGAUCUAUGGUUCGUAAACUUCUUUUGCAGGGGAAUAAAGUGCAGGACGUGUCCUGUUUUGUAUGUACCCUGAGAAUAAGGAUCGGCUAACUCCGUGCCAGCAGCAGC